UACGUAGGGGGCUAGCGUUGCCCGGAAUUACUGGGCGUAAAGGGCGCGUAGGCGGGCCUUUAAGUCGGGGGUGAAAUCCUGGAGCUCAACUCCAGAACUGCCUUUGAUACUGAAGAUCUUGAGUUCGGGAGAGGUGAGUGGAACUGCGAGUGUAGAGGUGAAAUUCGUAGAUAUUCGCAAGAACACCAGUGGCGAAGGCGGCUCACUGGCCCGAUACUGACGCUGAGGCACGAAAGCGUGGGGAGCAAACAGG
rnacentral:rRNA from 1 species